GAUAGUGUGGUGGGAUCUCUCCCACCAAGUGUUCUUCAUUUUCAUAUUGUAACUUUUUGUUUCUAGAAAAAUUAUCGGAUUACUCAUCUCUUAGUGUUCGUUAUAUUUUUGUUGUCAUUAAAUCUCAAGGUCAUAUUAUUCCGCACAAGUUGGUCGUCAAAAUGGACUCCUACAAUUGGUAUCAGAGCUUGAAGAUCUAAGUGAUUAUUUCAAGGGAACAAUUCCCAAUCGACUACUUCUAUCUUGAAGAUUUUUCGAUUUUUGCAUAAAAUUUAUGGGUUCGCAACUAGAGAUUUUAAGAUGAGUUUUCAAUUGUUUGAGUAUUGGUUCAAGCUUUUUUAAAGCUUUCAAGAAUACUUGUUGUUGUUGUCUCGUUCAAAUUUCUGUUGAAAAUCCGGGUUUAAGAAGUUUUUAUAUUGCUGUUAAAGAAAAUGAAGAAGGGAGAAGAUAUUUAUUGUCUAAAAUAUUUGAAGAAUUUGCUCCAGACAUUUUUUUUUGCUAUGGAAUGAAGACGCAAUAUCUUGAGUUUUGUUGAAGAGAUUGGAGAAGAUUUCUUUUUGAAGAAUUUAUCAGCAUAUUUUUUUUUGAGUUCAUCACAGAAGCUUCUGCAGUACUCCUCACUGUGCAAAACCGAAGAUUCACAGUCCUCGCUACUCCUGCAAGACACCGCAACCAGCUACUCUUCAGUGCUCAAUCCUCGCAUAUCGCAGAUGUAACGCCCAGUUUCUGGUUUUGAAGAAGAAGAGACUUGAAGAAUGAGCAAUGAAGUUUUGGAGAAGAGUAGAUCCAGAAGUCUAGCUUCCUUUCUAGUUCAUCAGAGGUACCUCUUCAUCUAAGGGGAAGGAGCCAGCGGCGUAGCAUGGCAUCACACACACACAUUUGAUUUUCCGCACGGUGUCUUCUGGGAUUGUACUCUAAUAUGUUAUUUGCUUAUGUUGUGGGUUUGAAAC